rnacentral:rRNA from 1 species
AUUGAACGCUGGCGGCAGGCCUAACACAUGCAAGUCGAACGGCAGCACAGAAGAGCUUGCUCUUUGGGUGGUGAGUGGCGGACGGGUGAGUAAUGUCUGGGAAACUGUCCGAUGGAGGGGGAUAACUACUGGAAACGGUAGCUAAUACCGCAUAACGUCGCAAGACCAAAGUGGGGGACCCUCGGGCCUCACACCAUCGGAUGUGCCCAGAUGGGAUUAGCUAGUAGGUGGGGUAAUGGCUCCCCUAGGGGGAGAUCCCUACCUGGUCUGAGAGGAUGCCCAGCCACACUGGAACUGAGACACGGUCCAGACUCCUACGGGAGGCAGCAGUGGGGAAUAUUGCACAAUGGGCGCAAGCCUGAUGCAGCCAUGCCGCGUGUAUGAAGAAGGCCUUCGGGUUGUAAAGUACUUUCAGCGGGGAGGAAGGCGGUGAGGUUAAUAACCUCGCCGAUUGACGUUACCCGCAGAAGAAGCACCGGCUAACUCCGUGCCAGCCGCCGCAGUAA